rnacentral:rRNA from 1 species
GACAGAGGAUGCAAGCGUUAUCCGGAAUGAUUGGGCGUAAAGCGUCUGUAGGUGGCUUUUCAAGUCCGCCGUCAAAUCCCAGGGCUCAACCCUGGACAGGCGGUGGAAACUACCAAGCUGGAGUACGGUAGGGGCAGAGGGAAUUUCCGGUGGAGCGGUGAAAUGCAUUGAGAUCGGAAAGAACACCAACGGCGAAAGCAGCUUACUAAAGUUUAAUUGACGCUGAGGCACGAAAGCGUGGGGAUCAAACAGG